ACUUUGAAUGUUUUCUCUUUCAACAUAUGAUUUCUCUUAUGCGCGGAUGCUCGCUCUAAAAAUUUGAGGCUAUGUUUUUGUUUCAUUAAAUUUUUCUCAAAAUGAUUGAUCUUUUGUCUUGAAUAAAUAUCCUUGAAAAAUUGUUUUGUUACCCACCGAUACAUUUAAGUUUGUAAAAUCUGUUAAAUUAUGACGUGUUAAGUUUAUUAAUGUACAACUGUUCCGUGCGAGAAUUUUCCCAUUCGAUCUCAAAGUUGUUCCUGUAGACAUAACCUUACAGUGAAGCAGCGCAAUCAUCAUAGAUAUUGAUAGAAUAUGAAAUUCCAAGCAAGUUAGUUGUCAGAAAGGUGAGUCGAAUGCAAACGAUGCCGGAGGUUUGGAUCCCAAGGGACAAGCAAAGAUGAGGGGGGAUCGAUUGAAUUUUGAAGACACUCCGUUGAAAAGUCGCUCUAAUGCAACCCACAGAAACAAACGAAUUACGAGCUUGGAGCAAUUCGUCCAGCAGAUACCACCGUCACUCCUGCGCAAGACCUCUUCACAAAAGCCCGCACUGCGGCAGGAUGAGAGGAACUUAGAUGUGAGAACCGAAAAUAGUCGGGGCGAUGCCAGAGGUGGAAAUGGCACACUCUUCCUGCAAGGCCUCUCAAGCCUGAAAGCUAAUUUGAAGAACAGAUCACAGCUUACGGAGAAACCAGCAUCAGGCAGUGUAUUAAAGUGCCCUCUAUCCUCCUCUGGUGUACUCAGUGAAGGAAAUCAAAAGAGAAAAAAAGAUGACACCGCGCGACGGUCACAUCCUAAAAGGAGAAUACAUGAAAGAAAAAAUGCCGGCGAAAAAAUCACAACAUCGAAAAGCACUUCUAGUAUGGUCAAGGAAAUGCUGCCACUUUGCCCCCUCGUGACAUCUGGAAGUCAAACAGGGAGUGUAAGAAGCAAGUCUUUUUCUCACUCUUGUCAUCUUCCCGAUCAGUCAGAUGGCUCUGAAAUAGAUGCAAUUUUGGCGAGGUUGUUGAAAGAGAAAGAGAAGCGACUCUUGAUGGAAAACUGUGUUGAGGGGCUGAAAAUUGGUGUCUCUCUGAAUCAGCAGGAAGUCAAGUCUUUAAUCCAGUCGAAGAAGAAAGCUUACACUGUGGCAAAGCUUCUUAAAAAAAAAUUUGAGAAAGCGCACGCCACGAACAAAGAGGCACUGAAAAGGGUCAAAGCUUUAAAGAUUGAAAAGGCCGAGUUGGCCGAGAAGCUGAAGUCCAAGGAGGAGAGACUGAUUACUCUGGAGAAUGAGGUUUCGCAGCUGCGCACGACCGGUCAGAUCUCCUCCAUGUCCUCAGCGGUGUUCAAAUCAGGGAGAAGAACCUGCUUCAAGUGAGCCGUGAAAACGAGAAACUCAGCAAGGAAAAUAUUGACCAGUCAAGGGAGCUCUCUGAAGAGAGGCAGAAGAAGAAAGAAGCAGAGCUGAGAUUAGCUGAAGCAAUGAGAGAGGUCAAACAGCUGAAGGCCGAGCUGGAUAAUAAGACAGAAGAGCUCGAAGCCGCCGGAGUGGAAGACAAUGACAGGCAAGUCUAGAUAUUUUUAAAACUUUUCCAGUUUCAAGAAAACCAAUAUUUGAUUUGCGGUUAAUAUAAACUUAGUGCACGGAGAAGAAUCUAUGGCUUAUACACCAAUUGAUGGCUCAUAUGGAACACCACUAAUAGUAAAGGCAACAUAUAAUAAUCGUACAUAUACUUUAGUAAUGGUAUAUGUACCAUACUAUGGUACGAGCUACCACAGUAUGGUUCACAGACCGAUAAUCAUCAGUUCAUAUACAACUAUUAAUGGUGUUCCAUUUGAACCACUAAUUGGUUUAUAAGCCAAAGCUUUUUCUCAGUGUGGAUCAAGGCGCGAGCUGGGGAGGGCAGAGGGCCACUUUUCCAAUGCUGAUAUUUUCUUGAGGAAAUUUUGUAAAAUUUCAUUUCUGAAAAAAUCCACUCA
rnacentral:lncRNA from 1 species